rnacentral:rRNA from 1 species
GAUGAACGCUGGCGGCGUGCCUAAAAAAGGCAAGUGAAGCGAACGGACGAAAAGCUGGCUUCUCUGAGGUUAGGGGGGAAGGGGGAAGUAAAACGUGAAUAACCUACUUAAAAAACUGGGAUAACUUCGGGAAACGGGGGCUAAAACGGAAGGAAAUUUGGAACGCAAGGGUUAAAAAGGAAAAAAGGGUCUGGCGGUACCUAAUAGAUGGAUCCGCGUUGCAUUAGCUAGUUGGUAAGUUAACGGCUUACCAAGGCAACGAUGCAUAGCCGACCUGAGAGGGUGAUCGGCCACACUGGAACUGAGACACGGUCCAGACUCCUACGGGAGGCAGCAGUAGGGAAUCUUCCGCAAUGGGCGAAAGCCUGACGGAGCAACGCCGCGUGAGUGAUGAAGGUCUUCGGAUCGUAAAACUCUGUUAUUAGGGAAGAACAUAUGUGUAAGUAACUGUGCACAUCUUGACGGUACCUAAUCAGAAAGCCACGGCUAACUACGUG